rnacentral:miRNA from 1 species
CAGGCAGUGACUGUUCAGACGUC